rnacentral:rRNA from 1 species
UGAGGAAUAUUGGUCAAUGGGCGGGAGCCUGAACCAGCCAAGUAGCGUGCAGGAAGACGGCCCUAUGGGUUGUAAACUGCUUUUAUGCGGGGAUAAAGUGCGCCACGCGUGGUGUAUUGCAGGUACCGCAUGAAUAAGGACCGGCUAAUUCCGUGCCAGCAGCCGCGGUAAUACGGAAGGUCCGGGCGUUAUCCGGAUUUAUUGGGUUUAAAGGGAGUGUAGGCGGCCUGUCAAGCGUGUUGUGAAAUGCGGAUGCUCAACAUCCGCACUGCAGCGCGAACUGGCUGGCUUGAGUGCACGCAGCGUAGGCGGAAUUCAUGGUGUAGCGGUGAAAUGCUUAGAUAUCAUGAGGAACUCCGAUCGCGAAGGCAGCUUACGGGAGUGCGACUGACGCUUAAGCUCGAAGGUGCGGGUAUCGAACAGG